UCGAAGGCAGUGUGCGCAGAGACGGCGAGCAGCUGCGCGUCACCGCACAGUUGAUCCGCGUGGAGGACGGCACGCACCAGUGGUCGAAGACCUACGACCGUAGCGUGGCCAGUGUGUUCGCCGUGCAGGACGAGAUCGCCAAGGAUGUGGCGCGGGCGCUCUCGGUGAAGCUGGAUAUCACCACACUGAAUCGUGCGCAGGGCGGAACCACGAGUGUCGAAGCCUACGACCGGUUCCUGCAGUGGCGAAACCUGUACUUGUCCGAGCGGGUAGAACCAGAAGUGAUCCGCCAGAUGGUGCGCUUGGCGCGCGAGGCGGUGGCGCUGGAUCCCGGAUUCGUGCUGGCCUGGGACGCGCUCGCGGAUUCGCUGACCGCACUGUCGCGCGAGGGUCCUGGCAGACAGGCCGAGAGUCUGCGCAAAGAGGCGGCCGAGGCGCGCGCACGCGUGGCAAAGCUGGCUCCGGACAGCUGGAUCGUGCAACGGGAGCGGGCAUACGCGUUAUGGGCCGAAGGCAAGUGGGCGGAAGCCAUUGCCGAGGUCGAGGCGAUCAUGAAAUCCGGGCCGCUGACACUGGAACGCGCUUAUCCGUAUACCAACCUUAUCUUCGCCGUUGGUCGCCUCGAGGAGACGAUCACGCUGAUGAGCCAGCUCCAGGCGAUCGAACCACUGGCGAUGUUCAUGACGCGCGACCUGCAGUGGGACCUCACUGCCGCAGGAAGAAUCGAUGAGGCCGAAGCCGAAUACCAGCGCAGCAAGGCGCUCGAUGGCAGCCACGAAGAGCCGGAUAUCGUCGCGUUCUACCGGACACUGGCGCGGGAGGAUGCCGACCCGCAGACGCUCCGCGAAAUGUACCAACGGCAAGUGGAACGUGUGGGUCCACGCGCUCCCCGGUACCUGCACGAUCUCGGUGCCGCGCUCCAGGAUCGCGAGCGCAUGCAGGACAUCCUCAGGAAGGAUUUCGAGGCCAGACGCGAUCCCUCCAUAAGGUUUUACGCCGACGCGCUCGGUGACGAGGAGCUCGCCCUCGCGGCAAUGCGCGGCAUGUGGAAGGGCCGCAGCAAGUCCUACACCGACUACUGGCAGCUUUAUCUCACUCCCUAUUCCGGCAUGCGCAGCCUGCCGGGAUACAAGGAGUUGAUGCG
rnacentral:misc_RNA from 1 species